UACGAAGGGGGCUAGCGUUGCUCGGAAUCACUGGGCGUAAAGGGCGCGUAGGCGGCCAUUUAAGUCGGGGGUGAAAGCCCGAGGCUCAACCUCGGAACUGCCUUCGAUACUGCGGGUCUCGAGUCCGGGAGAGGUGAGUGGAAUUCCUAGUGUAGAGGUGAAAUUCGUAGAUAUUAGGAAGAACACCAGUGGCGAAGGCGGCUCACUGGCCCGGUACUGACGCUGAGGCGCGAAAGCGUGGGGAGCAAACAGG
rnacentral:rRNA from 1 species